CUGGUUUUCACAGUGAUUUGACAGA
rnacentral:miRNA from 15 species